AGGCCCCUGGCGCAUGGCGCCAUGGCACCCACAUUCAGUGACCCAGAAAAUUUGGCACUGCUGUGAAUAGUUUAGUUGGAAAGUGAAGGGGGAAGAGCCCCAAGCUUGGAGCUAUACAACGAGAUGAGGAUGGUCAUUGUCAUUUUCUGAGCUGCGAACGGGCAGAAAGCUAUACAACGAGAUGAGGAUGGCCAUUGUCAGUUUCUGAGCUGCGAACAGGCAGAAAGCUAUUGGAGGAAUCCCUCUCUUGUAUCCACCAGGGAGAAAACUGUGCCCCAGCAAGAGAAGAGGAAAUCAAGCAAGCAGAGGAUCAG